CCUACGGGAGGCAGCAGUGGGGAAUUUUCCGCAAUGGGCGAAAGCCUGACGGAGCAACGCCGCGUGGGGGAUGAAGGCCUCUGGGCUGUAAACCCCUUUUCUCAAGGAAGAAGACCUGACGGUACUUGAGGAAUAAGCCACGGCUAAUUCCGUGCCAGCAGCCGCGGUAAUACGGGAGUGGCAAGCGUUAUCCGGAAUUAUUGGGCGUAAAGCGUCCGCAGGCGGCCUAUUAAGUCUGUCGUUAAAGCGUGGAGCUCAACUCCAUUUAAGCGAUGGAAACUGGAAGGCUAGAGUGUGGUAGGGGCAGAGGGAAUUCCCGGUGUAGCGGUGAAAUGCGUAGAUAUCGGGAAGAACACCAGUGGCGAGGGCGCUCUGCUGGGCCAUAACUGACGCUCAUGGACGAAAGCCAGGGGAGCGAAAGGGAUUAGAUACCCCUGUAGUCCUGGCCGUAAACGAUGAACACUAGGUGUCGGGGGAAUCGACCCCCUCGGUGUCGUAGCUAACGCGUUAAGUGUUCCGCCUGGGGAGUACGCACGCAAGUGUGAAACUCAAAGGAAUUGACGG
rnacentral:rRNA from 1 species